rnacentral:rRNA from 1 species
AGAGUUUGAUCCUGGCUCAGGAUGAACGCUGGCGGCGUGCUUAACACAUGCAAGUCUUAGGAGAACGUUUCUUCGGAAACAAGUAAACUGGCGAACGGGUGAGUAACGCGUAGAUAAUCUACCCUAUAGACUGGGAUAACGCUGUGAAAACGGUGCUAAUACCAGAUGUUAUCAUAUUUCCUUGGAAUUAUGAUCAAAGGUGGCUUCGGCUAUCACUAAAGGAUGAAUCUGCGUCUGAUUAGCUUGUUGGUGGGGUAAAGGCCCACCAAGGCUACGAUCAGUAGCUGGUCUGAGAGGAUGAUCAGCCACACUGGGACUGAGAUACGGCCCAGACUCCUACGGGAGGCAGCAGUGGGGAAUUUUGCGCAAUGGGCGAAAGCCUGACGCAGCAACGCCGCGUGAUCGAAGAAGCUCUGCGGAGUGUAAAGAUCUGUCAUAAGGGAAGAAUAGCGAGUAUUCUAACAAAAUAUUCGUCUGACGGUACCUUAUAAGAAAGCCCCGGCUAACUUCGUGCCAGCAGCCGCGGUAAUACGAGGGGGGCAAGCGUUAUCCGGAAUCAUUGGGCGUAAAGGGUUCGUAGGCGGACUGAUCAGUUGGAAUUGAAAGACCACGGCUUAACCGAGGGAACGGUUUCAAUACUGUCAGUCUUGAGUGAGGUAGAGGUAAGCGGAAUUCCUGGUGUAGCGGUGAAAUGCGUAGAUAUCAGGAGGAACAUCAAAGGCGAAGGCAGCUUACUGGGCCUAUACUGACGCUGAGGAACGAAAGCGUGGGGAGCAAACAGGAUUAGAGACCCUGGUAGUCCACGCCGUAAACGAUGAGUACUUGGUGAUGGGGGAUUCGACCCCUUCAUUGCUGGAGCUAACGCAUUAAGUACUCCGCCUGGGAACUACGACCGCAAGGUUGAAACUCAAAGGAAUUGACGGGGACCCGCACAAGCGGUGGAUCAUGUGGUUUAAUUCGAUGCAACGCGAAGAACCUUACCUAGGCUUGACAUGUUAGUGAAAGCUCUGUGAAAGCAGAGCCCUCUGAGAGCUUGCUCAAAGACACUAUCACAGGUGAUGCAUGGCUGUCGUCAGCUCGUGUCGUGAGAUGUUCGGUUAAGUCCGAUAACGAGCGCAACCCCUAUUCUUAGUUGCCAGCACAUAAUGGUGGGGACUCUAAGAAAACUGCCCGGGAUAACCGGAAGGAAGGUGGGGUCGACGUCAAGUCAGUAUGUCCCUUACGCCUAGGGCUACACACGUGAUACAAUGGAGGGUACAAAGGGUUGCAAUACCGCGAGGUGGAGCCAAUCCCAAAAAACCUUCCCAAGUUCAGAUUGCAGUCUGCAACUCGACUGCAUGAAGCAGGAAUCGCUAGUAAUCGUGGAUCAGAACGCCACGGUGAAUACGUUCCCGGGUCUUGUACACACCGCCCGUCACGCCAUGGAAGCCGGUAGUGCCCAACGCCAGUGUCCCAACCUUCGGGAGGGAACUGUCUAAGGUAAGAUCGGUAACUGGGGCGAAGUCGUAACAAGGUAACC